rnacentral:SRP_RNA from 1 species
GCCAGGCAUGGUGGUGCGUGCCUGUAAUCCCAGCUACUCAGGAGGCUGAGGCACAAGAAUUGCUUGAACCCGGGAGGCAGAGGUUGCAGUGAGCCAAGAUCACACCACUGCACUCCAGCCUGGGCAACAGAGCAAGACUGUGUCUCAA